rnacentral:rRNA from 1 species
GGGGUAACCGGCCCCCAAGGCGAAGACGGGUAGCUGGUCUGAGAGGAUGACCAGCCACACGGGGACUGAGACACGGCCCCGACUCCUACGGGAGGCAGCAGUGGGGAAUAUUGCACAAUGGGCGGAAGCCUGAUGCAGCGACGCCGCGUGAGGGAUGAAGGCCUUCGGGUUGUAAACCUCUUUCAGCAGGGACGAAGCGUGAGUGACGGUACCUGCAGAAGAAGCACCGGCUAACUACGUGCCAGCAGCCGCGGUAAUACGUAGGGUGCGAGCGUUGUCCGGAAUUACUGGGCGUAAAGAGUUCGUAGGCGGUCUGUCGCGUCGUUUGUGAAAACCCGGGGCUCAACUUCGGGCUUGCAGGCGAUACGGGCAGACUUGAGUGUUUCAGGGGAGACUGGAAUUCCUGGUGUAGUGGUGGAAUGCGCAGAUAUCAGGAGGAACACCGAUGGCGAAGGCAGGUCUCUGGGCAGUCACUGACGCUGAGGAGCGAGAGCAUGGGUAGCGAACAGGAUUAGAUACCCUGGUAGUCCAUGCUGUAAACGGUGGGCGC